ensembl:lncRNA
CCACCCCCAGGCCUUUAAUAGUGGAUCAGGUUUAUAACCACCCCCAGACCUUUAAUAGUGGAUCAGGGUUAUAACCAGCCUUUAAUAGUGGAUCAGGUUUAUAACCAACCCCAGACCUUUAAUAGUGGAUCAGGGUUAUAACCAGCCUUUAAUAGUGGAUCAGGUUUAUAACCAACCCCAGCCUUUAAUAGUGGAUCAGGGUUAUAACCAACCCCAGGCCUUUAAUAGUGGAUCAGGGUUAUAACCAACCCCAGGCCUUUAAUAGUGGAUCAGGGUUAUAUCCAGCCCCAGGCCUUUAAUAGUGGAUGAGGGUUAUAACCAACCCCAGGCCUUUAAUAGUGGAUCAGGGUUAUAACCACCCCCAGG